rnacentral:rRNA from 1 species
CCGGGACCAUCCGGUAAGGCUAAAUACUCCCGAGAGACCGAUAGCGAACCAGUACCGUGAGGGAAAGGUGAAAAGCACUUCGAACAGAAGAGUGAAAUAGUUCCUGAAACCGUGCGCCUACAAGCGGUCGGAGCUCGUUAAUGAGUGACGGCGUGCCUUUUGCAUAAUGAACCUACGAGUUGCCUUUGCCGGCAAGGUUAAGUGUGACGACACACGUAUCCGAAGCGAAAGCGAGUCUGAACAGGGCGUAUAGUCGGCAGUGGCAGACGCGAAACCAAGUGAUCUACCCUUGGCCAGGUUGAAGGCUGGGUAACACCAGCUGGAGGACCGCACCAAUAAGCGUUGAAAAGCUUCUGGAUGAGCUGAGGGUAGGGGUGAAAGGCUAAUCAAACUUGGAGAUAGCUCGUACUCCCCGAAAUGCAUUUAGGUGCAGCCUUGCGGGUUACUGAUGUGAGGUAGAGCGACUGAUAAGAUGCGAGGGCUUCACCGCCUAUCAAGUCUUGACAAACUCCGAAUGCGCAUCAGUUCUACCGCAGGAGUGAGGGCAUGGGUGCUAAGGUCCGUGCCCGAGAGGAGAAGAAUCCGGACCACCUGCUAAGGUCCCGAAAUGACAGCUAAGUUAAACUAACGAAGUCUGACUGCUAAGACAGCUAGGAUGUUGGCUUGGAAGCAGCCAUUCAUUUAAAGAGUGCGUAACAGCUCACUAGUCGAGGAGUCGGGCGUGGAUAAUAAUCGGGUAUGAAGUUGUCUACCGAAGCAGUGGGAUCAUUUAUAUGAUCGGUAGGGGAGCAUUCCAGUCGGCGUCGAAGGCGUACCGUGAGGUAUUCUGGAGCGUCUGGAAAAGCAAAUGUAGGUAUAAGUAACGAUAAAGGGGGCGGGAAACCCCCUCGCCGAAAGACUAAGGUUUCCUGAUCAACGCUAAUCGGAUCAGGGUCAGUCGGGUCCUAAGGCUCAGCCGAACGGCGAUGCCGAUGGCAGAAACGGUUAAUAUUCCGUUACUACCUUCAGGAGUGACGUGGAGACGCAGUAGUGACAGUGCCGCCAUCUGACGGAAUAGAUGGUUGAAGGGUGUAGGAGUCGAUCAUGGCAGGCAAAUCCACCAUGAGAUCCGAACCUGACAGUAUGCCGCGUCCUUCGGGACAAGGCAAUAGUGCGCGUAAGCAUGCUGCCGAGAAAAUCCGCUAAACUUAAUCCUGCAGGUACCCGUACCGCAAACGGACACACGUAGUCGGGAUGAAUAUUCUAAGGCGCUUGAGUGAUUCACGGUUAAGGAACUAGGCAAACUGACCCUGUAACUUCGGGAUAAAGGGUCCCUACCCUUUUAUGGGAGGGCGCAGAGAAUCGGUCCAGGCAACUGUUUAACAAAAACACAGGGCUGUGCCAAAUCGAAAGAUCCAGUAUACAGCCUGACACCUGCCCGGUGCUGGAAGGUUAAGAGGAGAUGUCAUCGAUAAGAGAAGCGUUGAAUUGAAGCCCCAGUAAACGGCGGCCGUAACUAUAACGGUCCUAAGGUAGCGAAAUUCCUUGUCGGGUAAGUUCCGACCUGCACGAAUGGUGUAAUGAUCUGGACGCUGUCUCAACCGUGAGCUCAGUGAAAUUGUAGUAUCGGUGAAGAUGCCGAUUACCCGCGAUGGGACGAAAAGACCCCGUGAACCUUUACUAUAGCUUAUCAUUGAAUCUGGGCACGUGAUGUGUAGGAUAGGUCGGAGGCUUUGAAGCAGGUACGCCAGUAUUUGUGGAGCCGCUGUUGAAAUACGACCCUUUAUUUGUUUGGAUUCUAACCCGUGGAUACGGGGACAUUGAUUGGUGGGUAGUUUGACUGGGGUGGUCGCCUCCAAAAGCGUAACGGAGGCUUCUAAAGGUGCCCUCCGGCCGAUUGGUAACCGGCCUUAGAGUGUAAUGGCAUAAGGGCGCUUGACUGGGAGACUGACAAGUCGAUCAGGUAGGAAACUAGAGCAUAGUGAUCCGGUGUUUCCGUAUGGA